CUCCAACCCAAGACUUCACCACAGCAGAGGAGCUGGCCCUGGACUUAAAUAAAGGGAAGCCAGUGAUUGAAGGGAUCCAGGGAGGGACAGCCACUGCCUCUGGCCCAGCAAGGGAUACUGGCCUCCUCAUACAAGUGGCUGGUAACACCCUUACACUUUUGGAGCCACCAGACUAUAAUUCAUCGAGGGAAGCCACAUCUACAGCAGUGGAGUGCACUUCUGCUGAUGAUGAGACCGUGUCGCUGGACUCCAGAAGGCUCGAGGAUCCUGACAUUGGGCAGCCUGGCAACAUAGUGAGUAUUGCCUACAGUAAAUUUACAUUAUGCAAAAAUUCUGCAAUGCUAACUAAAAGGUGUUCACAGAAUUCACAAACUGUCAGAUAUCUCUACACAACGCAUCUUAAGAGACAUAUCAAGCUGACAGAAGUCAAGAUUGAUGUGAACAAAAGAAAGCUGCAGGACAUGGACCUUGAGAUGAAAAUUUAA
ensembl:lncRNA